CACGUAGGGUGCGAGCGUUGUCCGGAAUUAUUGGGCGUAAAGGGCUCGUAGGCGGUUUGUCGCGUCGGGAGUGAAAACCAGGUGCUUAACACCUGGCUUGCUUUCGAUACGGGCAGACUAGAGGUAUUCAGGGGAGAACGGAAUUCCUGGUGUAGCGGUGAAAUGCGCAGAUAUCAGGAGGAACACCGGUGGCGAAGGCGGCAUCCUGGACCGAGAUUGACACUGAUGAGCGAAAGCUAGGGGAGCAAACGGG
rnacentral:rRNA from 1 species